AACGCAUAUUGCGCCCCCCCGGCAUUCCGGAGGGCAUGCCUGUCCGAGCGUCAUUGCAACCCUCAAGCUUGGCUUGUCGUUGGGCCUCGUCCCCCGUGGACGGGCCUGAAAUGCAGUGGCGGUGCCGUGUCUGGUGCCUGGCGUAUGGGCUUACAACACCCGCCAAAGGUCCAGGCGGCGCCGGCCGAUCCAGUGGCUCCAGUGGUUGACCUCGGAUCAGGUAGGGAUACCCGCUGAACUUAA
rnacentral:misc_RNA from 1 species